rnacentral:tRNA from 1 species
AGUUAUUUAGCUUAUUUAAAGCAAGUAUUUUGAAAGUACUAGAAAGAUUUUAAAAUUUAUUAACUU